rnacentral:lncRNA from 1 species
UAGCCUUUUCUAGCCCUUAAAGGGGUUUACAUCCGGGGAGGAGCGUUAUGGCUACCUAAAAAUCCCUUUUCAACUCGUUGAUUAAAAAUCCCGUAUAGUCAAAUUUUCCCAUAUUAUUGAAGUUUGAACUCAAACAAAAAUGAAGAAAAUAAACAUUCAAAAUGACUCAUUCAAAACAAAUUAGAGGUUAGAUAAAGGGAACUAUGAGAAUGAAGGUUGUUUUGUUUGGGUUAUACAAUAUACAUCUAGGGGUUUUAGCCUCUAGGCGUUGGUCAGACUAACCAACUACUCACAUCAAUAACCUCACCCAGCCUGAGUGGGGCCGAAAGAAGCCAGUAAUUAUCACAUAUGUGAUACCUGGAAGAGCGGUCAGCUGUUCAAGUACCAUUCACGCGCUACGUCGCUUAACUUCAGUGAUUGGACGAGAGACUGGAGGGUUUAAGAACAAAAAAUAAAUGUGGGAGAAAAUAGAAAAGAACAGCUAACUGUUCUGGGAACUUAUUGACAAAAAAUU